rnacentral:RNase_P_RNA from 3 species
CUAGGAAAAAGGAUGAUUACCCGCCAACAGCUACGCAGUUGCUGGCGGGAGGAAAGUCCAGACAGCAUAGAGCAGGGUGCCCCGCGUAAGCGGGGGAUCGCAAGAUCCAGUUAGAGCAACAGUGACGAACCGAGGUCAAGCUCGGGUGAAACGGGCAAUCCUCCCCGCUGCAAUCCUAGAACCGACAGGACUGCUCGUCCAUCUGUCGAAGUCAGGAGCAUCAGAUAAAUUAUCAUCUUGAAACAAAAUCUGGCUUACUAUUUUCCUAGGCAU